rnacentral:rRNA from 1 species
CAGUCGCCACGGUAAUACAGAGGGUGCAAGCGUUAAUCGGAAUUAUUGGGCGUAAAGGGUGCGUAGGCGGCUUGACAAGUCUUGUGUGAAAUCUAUGGGCUCAACCCAUAGUCUGCACGGGAAACUGUCGGGCCUGAGAAUGGGAGAGGUGAGUGGAAUUUCCGGUGUAGCGGUGAAAAGCGUAGAUAUCGGAAGGAACACCAGUGGCGAAGGCGGCUACCUGGAUUGACACUGACACUGAGGCGCGAGAGCGUGGGGAGCAAACAGAAUUAGAUACCCCCGUAGUCCCUGUCUCUUAUAC